rnacentral:lncRNA from 1 species
GAUAGAUGUUUUGAAGCAACUAGAAUGGAAUGUAAAACAUAAAAUUAUUAGUCAAAUCCUCUUAAUCUAAAUGAAUUAGGCUGUUUUUGACAGUUUGAAAUUGUCUUGCCUAAAACAGAAUGCUGACGUAGCAGGGUGUGUAUGUAUGUGUAAAGAGCACUUUGCGAGUGUCAGACAAUUCAAAUUCUAGCGUUUACUUGUGAUUGUUUAUCUUACAUAUAAUAGAAUAGCUGGAUGAUGAAGUAUAUUAGUUCUUUAAUAAUUUAUAGAAAUGCUUUGAUGUUGCAGUAAUUACAUUAAAGGUCACAUAUCAAAGGUAAUUUGGUUGAGCAGCUGUGAUGGUUUCUCAGAAGCAAUCAAUAUUGCUGUCCGUGGUGGUGAUUUCACCAAGGGGACUGCCAGAUUAAAGGAGGCUUAUUACCAGACAGACAGACACGGGGGAAAUCAAGAACAGAUUGGAGAGAUGCACUAUUCUCGUUCUCCAACUAUAAUUAACACUGUUCACCAUAAUCUGCACUAAUCCUUUAUAGUGGGAAACCAUCACUACUUUAUUUUUUUAUAUAUAUAUAUAUUUUUUUUUCCCCCUCUGUAUCUCCAACAUUACAAAAAGCAAAUUAGGAAAGAAAGUGGAAUUUGGGGGAGUAGGAGAGAGAAAGCAGAAAAAGUAAAAGUUGAUUCACUCUUGGGAUUUCUGAUGCUGAUAUAUGUCUCAGUGAUAAAAUGCAGUACAAAAACGCAGCCCAUGGUCUUGGGGAAAGCACAGGGAGGGCGGGCAAAGUGAUCUAGACAAUGACAGUGCAGGGGAUGUGAGAAUUAUCUGCCUGCAGAUUUAGUAUAAUAUUAUCUAUUUACCCCACAAAGCUGCACAGGAAAUGAAAUCAGAGAAAUAAAAUUAUGUUUUAAGUGUAGUCAUUUUGAUUACAAAUUAGAGUGAAGCCAACUUUUUCUCCCUUUUCUUUUUCCUUUCUGAAGCAAAUGGCAGAGGAUAAUGCUGAGAAAUGUAAUUACGCUAUCAAGAUCUACUUUUAUUUAUAGCACAAAUAAACUGAGCUCAUGUAUGAUAAGCACAGCAACAUUUCUUUCCUCUAGUUCUUUGUGGCUCUCUCAGGCAAUGGGAGUGAAUAGUCCAUGUGUACUUGGUGGAGGCACUGCCUCUUUGCAUAAUGUUAAAACCUCCCGGUAAGACUUGCAAAGAAUAACUAUGAAAUUAAGCAGCUAAGAAACUGUUAACCUCAGCAAUCUGUGGGGCUUACUCAGGCUGAGAAAUAGACUGCAUUUUUUUCCUGUAUCUAUUUCUCUUGAAAUGGAGAGUGGUACUACUGGUAUGCUAAAUUUCCCAGCCUGUAACAUAAUUAGUUUUCUUCCUAACUGUUCUGAGAUCUUUUGUCUCUUCUGCCAUGUAGAAAAAAAUGCAUUCUACUUUAUUCAUCAUAUGCAAAAAUAUGCUUCUUUAACAUUAGAAGAUAGGUGAGCUCAUAAAACUCAUAUUAAAACCAGUUUUAAACAAACAAAAAAGUCUCUCUAAUGAAGCUAAAAUUGUGUUUAGCUAAAAAAAAAAAAAAAAAAAAGAGGUAUUCAAUGUCAUCUGGCUCAAAUUCUUUUGUAUUUUUGAGAAAAGACACCUGAGCAUAGAGGGCUAGGGGGUAGAUAAAGUGCCUUGCAAAAUCUAGCCCCUCUUGAAUCCUUUCAAUAAAGCUUAGAUGAGAUGCAUUAUGUGGACUUCAGAAGUCCUGAUACAUAGCAUGGCUUUCUCUGUUCAAGCAGAUAUUGCUGUAAUUUACAGUCUUAUUGGGUUUUUUUAAUAUUUCAAAGCUUUUUCAAAAAGCUUGUUAGAAAACCAUUAAACCACACAACACCCUGCAUACUAUGUUAUUCCAAAAAUGGUAUUAUAUUCCACACCUUCCCAUUUCAAAAGUAUUCUCUACCAAUGUAAAUUGCAAUUUGGUCAGCACUGGCAGGCUGGAUGGGUUCCAUUGAUUAAAGUAGCCUGCUGAACACACAGCCUGCUCACCAUGCCCUUUAGAUUUUGAAAGAAAACACAUUUAAUUGUUCUCUUGGGAGAAACAUGUCUGUUUUCUGAAGUUAAAAAUGAAGAUGAAAAGCAACAAAACCGGAUUUGAGGUGAGAGACUUGCAAAAACCAGUCGUGUAGAAAAUCUCCAGUGCUUUAGAAUCUUUGGGUGUCAAUGUCAUGGUUAAAAGAUUUUUAGUUUUUUUUUUCACCCAUUGUUUCCUCCUCCUGACUGACCAGCCAGCAAAAGGACUUUUGGAUCUUGCUUUGUGGAAAGGAGGAGACAAAAGGGGGAGAGGGAACUAUACGCACUUUCCAUUUUUUAAAAUCUGUUGUAGUUUCACAGUGCUGCUCAGUUCACCAGAGGAGAUGAAACACCUGGGUCCUAUCUGCUUGGUAAACAUUAAAGUUCCAUUUCAGUAGUUAAAGAUUGGUUUCUGUAUCCCUAUACAGCAGCCUCUAAAAUACAAAGUAAAAUCUCUCUCUCUGUCACCCAGUCCAAAGGGCUUUAGAGGAAAAGGAAACUGUACAAGCAUUCUGAAAGCACCAGUGUGUUGGAUGCAUGCUGUUACAUCAGCUGAGGCUGGUGUAUUCAUCACACUGUGGUGGCUAACCAGGCUUAGCCUGACAUGUAAAAUGGGAACAAGGCUUCUCAGUUGUGUUUGAGAUUUGGUGGUAAUUGAAAAAUAGUGAGCAAAAAAAAAAUUAUAAAAGUAGCAUUGUCUUGUAUUUCUAAUUUGACACCUUUUGGCUGUCAAAGGAUGGUUUCCAAGAUAUUCAACAAAAGCUUUUGCUGGACCUUCAUUUGCUUUAUUUGUUAUUCAAUGACAACUUUUCUGUCUGACGUCUCUGCCAUAGGAGGAUCAAUCUAAUUUUAUGUACAACUGUAAAGAUGAAUGAUAAGUAGAAAGGAUUCAGGCAAGUACAAGCUGAAUAAAUUAUAAAGGGCAAAUGAUGACAGGACUGGGAGUCCCAGGAGACAGUGAUAUGAUAACAGAAACUAAAGACGAAUUUAUGAUGGAUGUAGUUAGCAUGUACUGAGGCUGUUAAUUCUUCAGGGUAGUUUUACAACUUCUUGUGAUUGGAGCAAUCAAAGUAUUUCAUUUUAAAGAGAUGCUGUAUAUUUUCACUUGUCUGUUCCGCAUAUUUGUAUGUAUGGCCUCAUUUAUAUGCAUAGCAGUAAACUCCCAUAGGCUAGUCAAGCUUACCUCCCAUCAAAGGGCCCCUAUUCUCCAAACCAUAAUGCCACUGUUUAUGCAUAAAUAAAUAGAUAAUGUGUAACAAUUUGAGGGCAAAGCUGGAUCUCAGAAAAAAAAAAAGUUUCUAUUUUCAUAGAACACAGCAAUCAAAUCUUUUCAGAUCCUGCAAGUAGCUGAGCACCUUCAGCUACCUUCAAAGCCAAGCCUAGGGACUAAGUUAGCUCACAGAUCCCUGAUGAAAAAUUAUAUAUAACAAGUUUCAGGUAGGUCAAAUUUUGGGCUUAAGCUACUUUAAGAGCAGCUGAUGCAGCAUCAUAAAGUUAGAAACAAAUCUGAUCUUGGAGCAGUUCUUGAUUGCAUUUCAUUCAUGCUCUUAUUUCUAUCUCUUGUUCCUUAUUAUUAAGGAUAUUUGCAUGAAAAUGAUCUUUUUUCCUUCCUCUGAAGGGUUGUCUCUUGUCUGUGAGUAAUGCUUACUCUGGCCUACAUUUGUGGGUUUGAUUCUGACUUCAUUUACACAAGUGUAAAUCAGCAGUGAUCUGAUUGAGGUCGAGGGAUUUAUAUGGCGAAGGAAAGAGCAGACUCAGCUAUAUUUGUCACUGCUGAAAUGAUGUCAUCGUGAACAGUACCAUAGCUCUAAAUGAGGAAACGUAUUUCUACCAAGAAUUUUUGCAUUCGCAUAUCUGAUCUCAUAAAACGCUGAGCAUCCUUGACGCCUGCUGGGCCAUUCAGUAACUCCCACUGGGUUUUUACUAGAGAGAGGUCCCAGCUCCAAACUGUAGCAAUUAAAGAUGGUUGGUGUCUUGGUGUUUCAACUGUGUUAGCCGUUAGGUUCUAACAAAUCCUAAACAGUGGGCUUUCCAGUUGCAUCACCCUACUGAUUCAAGUGAUAGGAUACACUCAGAAAUAAUUUGCAAGCAGCAAUCCUUCACUUCUCAUCCCUUGUUUUCAGACACAGAGACAUAGAGGAAGAGAUGAAUAGCCACCCUUUAACAGGCAAUUUGCUUUUCAUCUGUUCAGUACUACGGGUGACAUUACCUAGUGCGGGGCUCCUUGUUCAUAGACUAACCUUUCCUUACACACCAACUUUCCGUAUUUCCAUUAUGUAGUUAUGGAGAAGCAUGUGCUGAUUCUAAUCUGUAAUGCAAUGUAAGCUUUCAAUAGAGCACUUAGAUGAAGAUGCUGUAUAAUUAUAUGAUUUGGACUUCCAUCUGUGGCAAUAUGCCAACCUAUACCA